UGGGGAAUAUUGCACAAUGGGCGCAAGCCUGAUGCAGCGACGCCGCGUGAGGGAUGACGGCCUUCGGGUUGUAAACCUCUUUCAAUAGGGACGAAGCGUGAGUGACGGUACCUAUAGAAGAAGCACCGGCCAACUACGUGCCAGCAGCCGCGGUAAUACGUAGGGUGCGAGCGUUGUCCGGAAUUACUGGGCGUAAAGAGCUCGUAGGUGGUUUGUCGCGUUGUUCGUGAAAACUCACAACUCAAUUGUGGGCGUGCGGGCGAUACGGGCAGACUGGAGUACUGCAGGGGAGACUGGAAUUCCUGGUGUAGCGGUGGAAUGCGCAGAUAUCAGGAGGAACACCGGUGGCGAAGGCGGGUCUCUGGGCAGUAACUGACGCUGAGGAGCGAAAGCGUGGGGAGCGAACAGGAUUAGAUACCCUGGUAGUCCACGCCGUAAACGGUGGGUACUAGGGUGUGGGUUCCUUCCUUGGGAUUCGUGCCGUAGCUAA
rnacentral:rRNA from 1 species